ensembl:snoRNA
GACCUCCCAGGAUCGCAUCUGGAGAGUAGCUAGUCUUCUGCUAAUUUCGGAGACACGAGGGAAAAUAUGCCUGUCAGAGACCCAUUCCAUUCCCCGUUUGCUCAGUAGCUGGUGAUUGGAAGAGGCUCUGUGACAGUG